CCUAAAAAGGAAAGAAGGCACAACAAACUCUUCGGCUGGUGCAGAAAAAAACCAAGGGAUACGAACACUGUUGACUCUUCCAAAGAUGUAGUACCUCCAAAGAAUGAGCGAAGCAGUUCCCUUACUCAAGUGCUCCAGGAAGAAACUCUGGAAAGUGUUCCCUUCGCUAGACUCACAUAGCCACAGGGUAGCAUGAGUGAGCCACCGAAGCCAGAGUCUAGGAGCGUCGAGAGUAAUCAAUCUCUUGGGAACAGUGUGGAAAAGAUCAUACAAGAUCUGGACCAUUUCAGCAAAGAAUCUGUGGUCCGCACAUCGAACGUCGAAUCGGAAAUCAGCGGCCAUGACAAGAAGGAAAAGACACCUAAAAGGGAAAGAAGCCUCAGCAAACUCUGCGGGUGGCGCAGAACAAAACC